UGGGUAACCUGCCUCAAAGAGGGGAAUAGCCUCCCGAAAAGGGAGAUUAGUACCGCAUAAUAUGUUUAAGUCGCAUGACUUUAACAUCAAAGGAUUUUCUUUUAAGAAAUUCCACUUUGAGAUGGACCCGCGGCGCAUUAGCUAGUUGGUGAGGUAACGGCUCACCAAGGCAACGAUGCGUAGCCGACCUGAGAGGGUGAUCCGGCCACAGUUGGAACUGAGACACGGUCCAGACUCCGUAGGGACGG
rnacentral:rRNA from 1 species